GGCGAACGCUGGCGGCGUGCUUAACACAUGCAAGUCGAACGGAAAGGCCCUGCUUUUGUGGGGUGCUCGAGUGGCGAACGGGUGAGUAACACGUGAGUAACCUGCCCUUGACUUUGGGAUAACUUCAGGAAACUGGGGCUAAUACCGGAUAGGAGCUCCUGCUGCAUGGUGGGGGUUGGAAAGUUUCGGCGGUUGGGGAUGGACUCGCGGCUUAUCAGCUUGUUGGUGGGGUAGUGGCUUACCAAGGCUUUGACGGGUAGCCGGCCUGAGAGGGUGACCGGCCACAUUGGGACUGAGAUACGGCCCAGACUCCUACGGGAGGCAGCAGUGGGGAAUAUUGCACAAUGGGCGGAAGCCUGAUGCAGCAACGCCGCGUGCGGGAUGACGGCCUUCGGGUUGUAAACCGCUUUCGCCUGUGACGAAGCGUGAGUGACGGUAAUGGGUAAAGAAGCACCGGCUAACUACGCG
rnacentral:rRNA from 1 species